rnacentral:rRNA from 1 species
AGACAUGCAAGUCGAGCGAGAUUUUUUCCUGUUAGCAAUACAGGGAAAAGUCUAGCGGCGAACGGGUGCUUAACACGUGGGCAAUCUGCCGAGAAGUGGGGGAUAGCUCGCCGAAAGGCGAAUUAAUACCGCAUGUGAUUAGAGUGGACAUCCAUUCAAAAUCAAAGUCGGGGCAACCUGACGCUUCUUGAGGAGCCCGCGGCCUAUCAGCUAGUUGGUGAGGUAACGGCCCACCAAGGCUUUGACGGGUAGCUGGUCUGAGAGGACGACCAGCCACACUGGGACUGAGACACGGCCCAGACACCUACGGGUGGCAGCAGUCGAGAAUUUUUCUCAAUGGGGGAAACCCUGAAGGAGCGACGCCGCGUGGAGGAUGAAGGUCUUCGGGUUGUAAACUCCUGUCAUUUGGGAACAAUGCGCAAAUAUUAACUGUAUUUGCGUUGAUAGUACCAGAAGAGGAAGAGACGGCUAACUCUGUGCCAGCAGCCGCGGUAAUACAGAGGUCUCAAGCGUUGUUCGGAUUCAUUGGGCGUAAAGGGUGCGUAGGCGGCGCGGUAAGUCGGGUGUGAAAUCUCGGAGCUUAACUCCGAAACUGCAUUCGAUACUG